UUUAUUUUAAACAAAACAUAUAUUUUAAAAACAAACAACUUUUAUAUUUUAAAAUUUAAAAAGCAAAUUCGAAAAAAAAUAUGCUAAUAAUCACUGAAAAAAUAAUAUUUAAAUUUUAUUUAAACGGAACUUAUUCGUCGUUGACUAACAAUGAAUUAUGGCUUCAUUAAUAAACGACUUUACGUAAAUAACAACUUAAUAGUUUUAUUCGCCAUUGUUAUGUACCUUCUAUUUCACAAGGCAAAUAAAAAAACAUACUGUCAGACAUAUUUAUUUUUCAUUUCCUAGUUUGCUACUAUUAUAUUUUCAUACUCUUCUUACAUCAUAAUCUUAUUCAAAAUUUUAAUCGUUAAUAAUAGACAUUCAUAAUAUAUAUAAAUGAAUAUAUAAAUAAGUUAAUAAUAGUCAUUGCAGUGAAGUACCGAUGCAUGUUUAAAUUUUUUUUUUUUUAGUUAUCGAAUAACAA
rnacentral:misc_RNA from 1 species